rnacentral:rRNA from 1 species
AUUGAACGCUGGCGGCAGGCCUAACACAUGCAAGUCGAGCGACCGGCGGACGGGUGAGUAAUGUAUGGGGAUCUGCCCGAUCGAGGGGGAUAACUACUGGAAACGGUGGCUAAUACCGCAUACUAUCGGACUAGCACAUAUGGGAUUAGCUAGUAGGUGGGGUAAAGGCUAACCUAGGCGACGAUCACUAGCUGGUCUGAGAGGAUGACCAGCCACACUGGCACUGAGACACGGCCCAGACUCCUACGGGAGGCAGCAGUGGGGAGUAUUGCACAAUGGGCGCAAGCCUGAUGCAGCCAUGCCGCGUGUAUGAAGAAGGCCUUAGGGUUGUAAAGUACUUUCAGCGGGGAGGCGUUACCCGCAGAAGAAGCACCGGCUAACUCCGUGCCAGCAGCCGCGGUAAUUC